UGGGGAAUAUUGGGCAAUGGGCGCAAGCCUGACCCAGCAACGCCGCGUGAAGGAUGAAGGUUUUCGGAUUGUAAACUUCUUUUAAGAGGGACGAUAAUGACGGUACCUCUUGAAUAAGCCCCGGCUAACUACGUGCCAGCAGCCGCGGUAAUACGUAGGGGCGAAGCGUUAUCCGGAUUUACUGGGUGUAAAGGGCGUGUAGGCGGGAUUUCAAGUCAGAUGUGAAAACCGAAGGCUCAACCUUCGGCCUGCAUUUGAAACUGAAGUUCUUGAGUGCUGGAGAGGCUAACGGAAUUCCUAGUGUAGCGGUGAAAUGCGUAGAUAUUAGGAAGAACACCAGUGGCGAAGGCGGUUAGCUGGACAGUAACUGACGCUGAGGCGCGAAAGCGUGGGGAGCAAACAGGAUUAGAUACC
rnacentral:rRNA from 1 species